AUGAAAUUGAAAAUAUUCCGAGAUGGCAAGUAUUGGGAGACGACUAUGAAAACACCUCUUUGGAUCCUCGAAUUGAAAGAGAGAUUGAGAGGGAUCAAGAAUCCUAAUUCUCGCUAUUUGGAAUGGAUCCAAUUCUAUUGA
rnacentral:rRNA from 1 species